rnacentral:rRNA from 1 species
GUCUACAGCCAACCUCCCUGAAUGCAUCCAACCUCGUUAGCUCUCAGAAGCUAAGCAAGGUUGGGCUUACUUGGUGUCUGGAUGGGAGAAAAGGGCUGGUAACU